UUAAAACUUUCAUCUUCCUCACUAUACAAUAUCCCCAUCUUUUCCUUUUUCUUUUCUUAAUCAAAUAACAAACACCAUAACAACACAAGACAAAAGAAAGCAAUAUGAGAUGAAUAAAAAGCUAACCCAUGGUGGUUGAUUCGUCGGUAUCGGCGCGGAUGUGCAGAUCGGAGGGAGGUCGUGAUGUUGGUAGUUGUGUAUUGCUGGAGGCGUGCGGCUUGGCCUUUGCCGGUGCUGCUCCUUGCGGCCGGUGGCGGUGAACAGGCGGUGUCGCGGUGGUAGUUUUGCUGUUGCGAUUUGGAGGGUAGCUCGUGGUAGUGCGGUUGAUGGAACAUUCGUGGUUGCCGGCAUCGCACGGUUGUAGCAUGAUUGGAGAUGGUGUGUAGUCGGAGCCUUAUUCUGUCUUCUUUUCUUUUUUCUGCGAAAACAAACUGUAAAAAAAAACAAAAAAAAACAAAGUAAUUUAUAUGCAAUUUUUGGAUCUUGGAUUUUGUGGAAAUCUAUCUAUAAUAUAAGAAAAUUUACUGUUCUGGAUAUCACUAAAAUACCCUUUGAUUAUCUUAGUCUAAAUUAUUAAUUUUGGGGCAAAAAAUGUCUUUUGCUGUUUCUUCCAACCAAAAAGAUUUUUUCUAAUAAUUCUAUUUACUUUUCGCAACCCAUUCUCCCAAAAGACUGAUUUUUUUCUGAACCAAAACCUACUUUGCAAAACACACGCAAAGUCUCUUCUCUCUCAUCCGAACCCUCCUCUCUAUUCACAUUUUUUUUUUGAACUUGUCCCAUCCUCUUCUUUCUUCAUGAUUUCAAAAUGGCCAGUAUCAAAAUCUUUACCCCUCUCUCAUUUUUCAUUCAUCUUCUUUACCACCUAUGACCCAUGCUUUCUCUUUCACUCCGUCAACUCUCUCACUUUCUCUUUUCACUGAUUAUCUCUCCUCUCAAAUAUCUAUUUCUUCUGUUAUUUUUGUUGAUUAAGGUAAACUUUGUGUCUUUGUUCUUUCCUCUUUUACGUCGUUUUCUUCAUUAUCUCCUCUCUGACCUAACGGUAUUUCCGUCAAAACUGUGAAAUCGCAUUGGAGAAGGUGUAUUUGAAGUGUAAACAGACGGUGGUGUUACGGUUAUGCGUCUGGAUUCACGGUGACUAUGUGCGCUGAUGAUGAGGGCGACGGGAGUGAAGAUGGCAAAGAUUUCAUAUUUUUCAAAUCUAAUUUCAAGUUUUUCGUGAGGAUGUGUUCAAGAGUUAUGUUGAUACAUCAAUAACAAAUCAACAAGGAAGGUUGAUAUUUCUUUAGUUGGUGUGAAUGAAGGUCCACACAUGUAUUAUUGUAUGACUCGAAAAGAGAAAAAGUCACAGACAUGAAGAACCAAGUUUCAUAGCAUGGGACUGUCUGGAUCAACUAGCAGAAUCUUUUUGCCCAGACUAAGUUAGCUUAUUAGGUUGUUGGUCCAACCAAGUUGAAUGUUUUUGGGAUUGUAAAUAAUGAACAAGGUUAUAAAGGGAUUUGUGAUUUUCUUUCAAUACCUUACAAAGAUGGCGGCGUUAGAGGUCUCAAUAAGAGAGUAUGUAUGUGUUAAAAUAUGCUUGUGUCUGAUAUUCGUAAUUUGAUUGUAUUUUACAGUUAAUCAUCUAUCAAGUGUUGUUGCCAAAAGCAUUGUACUUAUGAGAUUUGAAAAGCGUAAGUUUUGAAUUUGAUUUUCUUUCCAGGUAUGCAUAAACAAUUUUUUAGGAUGAAAGCAAGAACAAAAUGAUGGAAGCUAAGGAACUUUUUGAAUAGAUCCUGAAGCAACCAUAUUUUGAAGUUUUAUACUAUUUUGAUAUUUAACAUUUGUUCCUUUAUUUUCUUGACAGAAAAUGUCCUUCAUGUUAUUUUUAAACAAGUUUGACAUAUUUGAGAAGAAUAAAACUUAUAGUGCAUAUCUAUAUUGGUUCAUGUAUUUAUGUUUUAACAAUCGGUUAGCAUCCGACAGGAUAUUUAUGCAUCAUUUGUGGAUCAAGUUGGCAGAACUACCUUUGUCUGGCGGUAGCUGAGUCCUAUUGUAUUAAUCUCGGUGUUGGGCAUUUGAAAAAACUAUGGCAAAGUCGAAAUCAUUUUCUGUUAUUAUACGGUGAUGUGCGGGAAGGUGGAAUUUUCAGUAUUUCUUUUUCUGGUGAAGUUGUUCUAACUAUAAAAUUCAGUUUCUCUCUAUUUUGAUUUAGGCGAAUGCAAUCGGGUGCAGCAGCUCUAAUGAGGAAAGUUGAAAAAUUGAAACUAUUGUGAUUGUUCGAUAUCAUACAUUGGAAUUUAAAUUCUACAAUAUGCAUGGUGAAGUGGAUUGUGUUGGGGACAAGUUUUGGUACUCCUCAGGGGAAGCCAAAGUAUAUACCAUGGAAUGAUGAUUUGUUUGAGUCCAUAAUGCAGAUAUAUAAAACCUCUUUUUCUUUUAGGAACAGGUAUUAAUUUUCAUUUCAUUUCUAAUAUUUGUUGGUUGAAUAUCUAUUAUGUUUAGGGACAAAAUUAUAUACAAAUUGAAUACAUAACUAUCUUUAUUUGUUGGUUAAAUACAUUUUUACGAUUAGGUGUGUCGUUGUAUCUUCAAAAUUUGCACAUAGCAUUGUUCAUGCUUUCAGACCCUUUGAACAAGUUUGGGAAGAGCUUUGUAAUGAUAUAAGAGAAGGUGUUCUUUCUAGCAGAGUCAUGGUUCCGUCUAUUCAUACAGCUUUGUAGAAAUUGCUCAAACCGAAUGCAGAGUUAGCAAACGUAAUUCAUAAGAAAUGUUCGGGAUUAAUUCUUUUGUAAUUUGGUUUUUUGGCAUUUUAUAAGAAAAUUGGUUCUUAAUGCCAACCAAUUUAAGCUUGACAGUGAUGUUGUGGAUUGAGAAAAUGGACUUAAGAAUCAUGAACUACAAGCAUAGAAUUUACACUUUCAUUGUUAAUAUGAAAAAGGCAAGAGUCUCUGAUGUGGCAUACUUACUGAUUCUGUUAAAUAUCUUGACGGGAGCUGAAUAUUUACAAUCUCUGUAUAAAACAACUCAGACGUGUAUAUUGAAGAUCAAUUUAUGGUUAUAUAAUCAUAGUUUCUUCUAUUUCAAGUUGCAGAGUAUGGCAAUCUGAAUCUUGUGUAGCAAGCAAACUGAGGUUUCUAAACUUGGAAACAGUGGCAAAUUCCAAAUGAAGGGAAAUUCAAGGACUAACAUCAAAGAUGUCCUAAAGUUGCAUAUCUCAGGGGGAGUAAAAGAGUAUGAAGAUCAGCAAAGACAAUGUUUUUCGCUUCUAUCCAUUUGCAAAGUCUUUUCAAAUACUAAUCUUGAAGAAAGAAGAACAAAGUCACACAAAAACCUCAGAACAUAACUCAAAUCAUGUUUAUUCUCAAAAGACCAGCAAAGAAUAUUCUUUGCAUUAUCAUCUGACGACAUGAAUUGAUGGUGUGUAUCACUUGUUCUGAUCUAAGUGCAUGAUCCAACCUAUGCACAAUUCCGCCUGGUGUAGUUCGUUCUCAAAUAACAUUUCUUGAUGAAGACUUUGGUUAAAAUCCAGGUAUGUUGUUUAAAUUGCUCAGAUUUAUAGAGUCUUUUCGUUUGAGUUAAGUCUUGUUUGAGUCCCUCAUGUUCUUCUUUCGGAUAUGAGAAGUUUCUAGAGUCUAGGUUAUGAUUGUCUACUUGAGUCAAUCAUAGGGUUUAAGGGUAGUGUUCAGGCAUUGUUAAGUCUGAGGUCAUUCUUUACAACUGAUUGGUAAAGAAUAAAGAGUCUUGUUUCGAGUCGUGAACACAAAUCGUUUCUUGUGUUCCAAGUCCUCUAUAGAGAAAGUGUUAUCUCUAUGGAUAGUCAGAGUUAGUUUGAGUUCAGAUGAACUUGUGUCUUAAGUGGUACUAACAUCACAAGGUACGUAUUUCCUGGAAGAAGGACUGGGAAUAUACAUUAGAAGUUUGAAAAAGCAACAUUAUUGUCUAAAGUGACAAUUCAGACAUAAUGUGGAUUAGAAUGGGCAGGUUCUGAUCUGGAUGUUAGUAAUAUGUUCUGGAAAUACAUAAUUACUUUCAUGAUGAAGACUUCACUUAGUGAAGAUGACUAUGAAGACAAAAGUUCUAUGAUCGGAUCAACGCAUCUAAGGAUAAAGGAGAAUCACUUCUGUUCAAGGAGUAUGUUAAUCAAUGUGUGAGAUUGAAAAACACCUUAUCAAGAAGGAUUUCGAAGUGUCUUAAGCAGACCAUGAUCUGAUUCAAACAUGGUAAGGUUAUGCUCAACAAAAUUCAAGGAGUGGCAGUUCUGUUUGUUGAGAUUGUGGCAACCUCUCUCUGUGUGUGCUUCUAGUAUCAAGAGGUCAUCUGUUGAUCAUUUCUGAAGGAGAUAAGUUCUUAGGCAAGGGUCUAUUAAAAAAAGAGAGAUGAAACUUGUGGAGAAUACUAGUAGUACAAAUAUCAGACACAAUGUUAUGACAUUCUACUUCUCGUGUAAGUAUUUAGUGUAAGGAACAAAUUUUCUAUAGUGAAUGUGUUCAGCAGAAUUGUUGAACAGAGGGUGCGGCUCUUGAAGAUAUGAAGAUGAGUCUUAUAUUUUCCAUUCAUCAUUUCAAGUUUAUUCCAUUGGGAAAGCUCAAACUAUCUCAGAUAUGGGGAGUAACUUCUUUUGUCAAGAAAAGUUUCUUGGUUAAAAAUACUUUUACAUCAUGAAGUAAAUGUGAUACUUUUGUCAGUUAUUUAUGAAUGGUUCAAGCUAACUAUGUGCAACUGGUAACCACUAUUGCUUAUCUACACUAAUGAGGUAGCUGUGUGUCUAACAGUCUCAAGGUGUCCAGAACGUUAGAAGUCUUUGUCUAUGACUAGUGAGUAAGUAGGGAGUCUGUUAAUUGGUCCAAAUGAUGCUCUGUCUUAAUCUUUUACGGAAUCUUGGGCUAUGUGCUUGAAGGAAAGACAAGUGACAAUGUCUAACAUAAUGUCAUGACAUGUUUAAAGACAUUGAAUCCUCAAAGUCAAACAAGGAAGUCUGACUUGAAGUUUAUCUACACAUCAAUGGUCGGUGUAAAGUACAAUCAAUGACUAUGCAUGCACUGGUAAUUCAAGAUAACUCCUAUCAGAAAAACAGUCAAAAACUGCUUUGGAAAGAGUAAUAGCUUUUGGAACUGUUUCCUAAUUAACCGUUUGACCAUUGAACAAGACCAAAGACCAUCGUUAUUUCCUAUAAUCUCCAUUUGCUAUAUAAUAGCAUCUCCAUGAAUUACAGAUAUCAAACUCUCUAUAAAUGUCAUUCGUGUGCAUUCUUGUGAGUCGAGUCUGGGUUUGGUAUUGUGAUGGGUUGCUAUACCAAAACCUCCUCAGAAAAAGAAAAACAUGGGUUGGGGAUGUUGAUGGUCUCUACCAUGGGUUUUUCUGCAAUAACAACAAAGAUGUUCCACUAUAUACAACCUUCAGUAUAGAAAUCAUUUUUGUUGUGAUUUGUGAUCUGAGUUAUGAACACAAAUUGUGAUUUGUGUUCUGACUUACAAGGAAUAACGGCAAGAAUCCAGUCUUGGUUCCCUUGAGAACUCGAGCUAGGAGUGGAUUUCUUGACACAGACAAAAAGUGUCUCCCAGGAUUAGCCGUUAUAUUCAAUUGCAAUGUAUGACACAGUGUCGAUCUUUGUCAUAUUAUGGCUAAAAAGGGGGAAAGAUACUGAUGCUGAUUUUGCUACUGAAAGCAAACAUGACCAAGUCCUUGUUGUCUAUAAAGUUGAAGUUGCUGCUGACUGUUACAAGAAUAGUUUUAGCCAAAAUAAGCCAAAAGGGGAGAUUGUUGAUGCUCUGUCUGUUCUUUAUUAUUGUCUAAUGUUUGGCUAAAACAUAUAUAGCAGCAAAUGGUCAAAAUAUGAAUCUUGCAAGUUUAAAAAGAACACAAAAGGUAUAAGCAGAUGUUAGAUGGAAUGUCAUGACAUCAACUCAUGACAUCGCGCCUGCAAAACUGGAAGAAAGAUUCAGUUUGUACUUAACAGAUACAGGAUAUUCGCAGAAUAUUUUGUAAUCCUAUGUGGCGCAUAUUUAAAGGUCAAAAGAAUAAUUGAAGAAUCAGAUCAGAAGAUUGAAGAUUCAGGAAGAAUCAGAUCAGAAGAUUGAAGAUUCAGCAGUUUCUAAUUUAGGAGAUAAAUUAGGAAACUCAUGAUUAAAAGACCUUAUUUGUAGCAGAAUAUUUCUGCAUAUUUGUAACAGCAAUGAGUGUUGCGAUUUGUAAGCCCAAAUCCAGUUUGGAUCAGGUUAUAAAUAGGAAACUUUGUAACCUAGUUUGAUAUAGAAAACCUUGUUUUUAACGAUGUAGUCAUUAGGGUUUCUAUAGGUAGACCACCCACGUUGUGGGAUGGCUGCCAUGUUCUUCUCGAAACCUGUAGGUUAAAGAAGUGAUUGUCCUCACUCGAAACCUGUAGGUAAGAGUUGAGUAUUGUAAACUUGAUUGAAGUUGUGAAGCAAGAUCAAGUAUGUGUUCAUUGUUAAUUAUGUAAAUAGCUGUUACAGGGUUGUAACAGUUAGGUAUCACUAGGGAGUGAGCAAAGGUUCUCUUGUCUUGGAUGGAGUUCUGAGAUAAAGGUUGCAUUGGGUAGUGACUAGGUAAACCAGAGGUUGUUUAUCUGUAAACCAGAGGUUGUUUACAUAAAAUAGUACUAGUGAUAGUGAAAUCUUCUUCCUGGCUUGGUAGCCCCCGGAGUAGGUAGUUAGACCGAAUUGGGUUAACAAUUAACUGUGUUAUUUAUCUUCUGCAUUAUUUGUUCAGUUAUGAAUGUUAUGACUUUGUUUAUAACAUCAGGUUCAGAAGUGUUAGUUGUUCCUAAACAGAACCAUGUAAAAAUUAUAAUCUGGUUAUGUCUACUGAACAUGUGUGAUCCCAGGUCUCAUUGACUUCUUUUUGAAGUAAUUAAUUAAUGAAGGAUCCUCCUAUUCUGCUUAUGCUACAUUAAUAACAGAUCAGAUGUCUUGACAUCGGGAUUGACAUCCGAGUCUGUCACACCAGAAUUUUCAAUAAGAAAUUCAAAAACAUUUCUGAACCCUAAAGUAGCAGUGAAAUUGGUGAGACUAAAGUCAUGGUAAAGACUUAGCUCAUUCGUUUAAAACAGAGUUGCCACCGCGCUUUAUUGUUUCCAAAAGGAAUGAGAGAAAGAGCGAUUAAAACACAAAGAAGUUUUUAAAAUCAAAACUUAUUAACUUAUUAGAGAUUUGGGUAAGGGGGUUUGUUAUACAAGGGGAAGGUUUUAAGCACCCCUCAUAUCCAUGGUAUCCCAUGGGAACCUCUUUGAAAAUGUUAUUGUUUUUGUGCACAUUCAUUUGAAAAGCAUAUGUGAAAUUUGUUUAAAAAGAGUGUGGCGAUGGGAAAAGAACUUUUUGAAAGUGAGCUCGAUAAGACAUCGCAUCUUAGGCCUACAUACCCCUUUUAAAGAAAAGGGAAGUCAUAGCUUUUGUAGUUCCUCAUAAAAAGGAAAAUAAAAGGAGGGCCAAAGUGGCCAAAAUAUUUUUGGUUGUUGAGCUUUAACAAUAUUCAACGGGUUUUUAAAAGGGGACCAAGCUUUAACAAUACAAGGUCAAUGGACUAAUAGUAGUUUCACCGGGAAUAAUUCUUCUAUUAGUACCAAAGUUUUAAAACAAAGGGUUGGUUGAGCUUUAACAAUACAAAACCAAUAAAAAGGGACUAAGAUUUAACAAUAUAAGGUCAAUGGACUAAGAGUAGUUUCACCGGGAAUAAUUCUCCUCUUAGUGCCAAGGUUUCAAAACAAAAGGUUGGUUGAGCUUUAACAAUACAAAACCAAGGAUGCGUUUAAAAAGGUUGAGCUUUAACAAUACAAAACCAUUUUAACAAGUGAAAAGCUUUAACAAUACUUGAACACAGAGUAAAAGAGAUUUGGAAAAGAGUUUGAGUAUCUUGACAAUUUUAGUCAAUACCAUUCUCAUUCUUUUGGAUUUUCAACAAACAACUUAAGCAAUCAAUCAAUGGAUACCUCAGGUGUGUGUGAUAACAUGUGUCACAAAAGACAAACAAGUAAGUAUGGUAAUCAUCGAUGAUAAUGAGCAAGGAUAUUUAUACCUUUGUAUUAAUUCAUGUAUGAAUGAAUGAUGGAUAUGAAUCUCAUGUAUAUGGUUAGAUAAACAAGAUAUAUACAAAGAUAAUAUAUAUAUAUAUAUAUAUAUAUAUAUAUAUAUAUAUAUAUAUAUAUAUAUAUAUAUAGUGGAUACAAGUACAAAAACACAAGGAUGGAAAUCAACAAGUAUAUGUACAAGUACAAAAGACAAUGAUCUAGAUAAACAAGUCCAUUUAACUUGAAUAACAAAGAUCAAGCUAUUUUUUGAAUUAGGGUUUUGAAAUCAACACCUAAACCUAAUUAAUUUUUUAAUGAUUAAAUACCAAAUUCUAAAGGAGAAUUGGUCUAAGGGUACAUGAGAAAGUCAAUGACACAUUAUCCUAACCCUAAAAAUAUAUUCACAAAAAUACACAAGGUUGAUUUGAAGAAAAUAUUCAAAAGAAACAAAUUUUUGUUGAUUUUUUAACACUUAAAAAGACAUAUUUUUUAUUAAUUUUUUAAUGAUGAAAUAAUAAAUAUUUUUGGAUUUUUUUAAUCAUAACAUGAAAAUAUACAAGUUAAAUAAGUAACAUAAAAAAAUCAAACCAAAAUAAUUAAUUUUUCUAUUUUAAAAUGAUUUUCAAAGUUUAAUAAAAAAGUGAAGAAAAUAAGUUGUAAAAAGAAAGGAUUGGCCCAUAGAGGUUUGAACCCACGCCUCUUGCUUUGCAGGUCAAAAGAUUGACCACUGGGCCAUGCGCUUGGCCCAAUCAAAGGAUGCGUUUAGUCCAAUACAAGGCAACACAAACUUGGAAAAUAUGAAAAAAAAUAAAAUGGAAAAGGUCGGGGGCGAGGGGAAUUCGAACCCCAGACCUAGAGGACGCGCGCAAUACACACACUAAACCAAUUGAGCUAAAACGAUGUAGUCGUUCAUAACAUGCCUCUAUCUCAUUUUAUUUUAAACUCUCAUUUUAAAACUGAAGAAUGGCACCAAGGCCAUCUUCAUCUUCUUCGUGAGACCAACAAGAUCAACCAUGGCUGGAACUUCAAACUUUCCUAAAUCUUAAUCAAAUUCAACAAAAUAAAAGUGCAUUCUGAUCCAUUUUUGAACACGAAUUUAACCACAUGAUUAACAAUAAUUAAUUCAUACUCAAACUCAUGAAUUUCUGGAAACAACGUAUGAAUCCUAAUUUUUUAAAUUUCAA